UAGGGAAUCUUCCACAAUGGGCGCAAGCCUGAUGGAGCAACACCGCGUGAGUGAAGAAGGGUUUCGGCUCGUAAAGCUCUGUUGUUAAAGAAGAACACGUAUGAGAGUAACUGUUCAUACGUUGACGGUAUUUAACCAGAAAGUCACCUCUAACUACGUGCCUG
rnacentral:rRNA from 1 species